AUUGAACGCUGGCGGCAGGCUUAACACAUGCAAGUCGAGCGGGGUGAUGGUGCUUGCACUAUCACUUAGCGGCGGACGGGUGAGUAAUGCUUAGGAAUCUGUCGAUUAGUGGGGGACAACAUCCCGAAAGGGAUGCUAAUACCGUAUACGUUCUACGGGAGAAAGCAGGGGAUUACUAGUAACCUUGCGCUAAUACAUGAGCCUAAGUCGGAUUGGCAAGUUGGUGGGGUAAAGGCCUACCAAGGCGACGAUCUGUAGCGGGUCUGAGAGGAUGAUCCGCCACACUGGGACUGAGACACGGCCCAGACUCCUACGGGAGGCAGCAGUGGGGAAUAUUGGACAAUGGGGGGAACCCUGAUCCAGCCAUGCCGCGUGUGUGAAGAAGGCCUUAUGGUUGUAAAGCACUUUAAGCGAGGAGGAGGCUCUUUUGGUUAAUACCCAAGAUGAGUGGACGUUACUCGCAGAAUAAGCACCGGCUAACUCUGUGCCAGCCGCCGCAGUAA
rnacentral:rRNA from 1 species